AGAGUUUGAUCAUGGCUCAGGAUGAACGCUAGCGAUAGGCUUAACACAUGCAAGUCGAGGGGCAGCACGGAAUAGCAAUAUUUUGGUGGCGACCGGCGCACGGGUGAGUAACACGUAUGCAACCUACCCAUGACAGUGGAAUAACCCGUCGAAAGGCGGACUAAUACCGCAUAAUAAAGGGAACCUGCAUGGGUUCUUUUUCAAAGAUUUAUCGGUCAUGGAUGGGCAUGCGUUCCAUUAGGUAGUUGGCGGGGCAACGGCCCACCAAGCCUGCGAUGGAUAGGGGUUCUGGGAGGAAGGUCCCCCACACUGGUACUGAGACACGGACCAGACUCCUACGGGAGGCAGCAGUGAGGAAUAUUGGUCAAUGGGCGAGAGCCUGAACCAGCCAAAUCGCGUGAAGGAUGAAGGUAUUAUGUAUUGUAAACUUCUUUUACAGGGGAAUAAAGUGCGGGACGUGUCCCGUUUUGUAUGUACCCUGAGAAUAAGGAUCGGCUAACUCCGUGCCAGCAGCCGCGGUAAUACGGAGGAUCCAAGCGUUAUCCGGAUUUAUUGGGUUUAAAGGGUGCGUAGGCGGGGAAUCAAGUCAGCGGUGAAAGUUUGCGGCUCAACCGUAAAAUUGCCGUUGAAACUGGUUCUCUUGAGUGUAGAUGAGGUGGGUGGAAUUCGUGGUGUAGCGGUGAAAUGCUUAGAUAUCACGAAGAACUCCAAUUGCGUAGGCAGCUCACUGGGCUACAACUGACGCUGAGGCACGAAGGUGCGGGGAUCAAACAGGAUUAGAUACCCUGGUAGUCCGCACAGUAAACGAUGAAUACUAGCUGUUGGCGAUACACUGCCAGUGGCACAGCGAAAGCGUUAAGUAUUCCACCUGGGGAGUACGUUCGCAAGAAUGAAACUCAAAGGAAUUGACGG
rnacentral:rRNA from 1 species